rnacentral:rRNA from 1 species
AUUGAACGCUGGCGGCAUGCUUUACACAUGCAAGUCGAACGGCAGCGCGGGCUUCGGCCUGGCGGCGAGUGGCGAACGGGUGAGUAAUGCAUCGGAACGUGCCCAGUAGUGGGGGAUAGCCCGGCGAAAGCCGGAUUAAUACCGCAUACGACCUGAGGGUGAAAGCGGGGGACCGAAAGGCCUCGCGCUAUUGGAGCGGCCGAUGUCGGAUUGGCUAGUUGGUGGGGUAAAGGCUUACCAAGGCGACGAUCCGUAGCUGGUCUGAGAGGACGACCAGCCACACUGGGACUGAGACACGGCCCAGACUCCUACGGGAGGCAGCAGUGGGGAAUUUUGGACAAUGGGGGCAUCCCUGAUCCAGCCAUGCCGCGUGCGGGAAGAAGGCCUUCGGGUUGUAAACCGCUUUUGUUCGGGAAGAAAUCCUCUGGGCUAAUACCCCGGGGGGAUGACGGUACCGGAAGAAUAAGCACCGGCUAACUACGUG